rnacentral:snRNA from 1 species
AUACUUACCUGGCAGGGGAGAUACCAUGAUCACGAAGGUGGUUUUCCCAGGGCGAGGCUUAUCCAUUGCACUCCGGAUGUGCUGACUCCUGCGAUUUCCCCAAAUGUGGGAAACUCGACUGCAUAAUUUGUGGUAGUGGGGGACUGCGUUCGUGCUCUCCCCUA